rnacentral:rRNA from 1 species
UACAGAGGUCUCAAGCGUUGUUCGGAUUCAUUGGGCGUAAAGGGUGCGUGAGGCGGCGGAGCAAGUCUGGUGUGAAAUCCCGGGGCUCAACUCCGGAACUGCACUGGAUACUGCUUUGCUAGAGUACUGGAGAGGGAACUGGAAUUUACGGUGUAGCAGUGAAAUGCGUAGAUAUCGUAAGGAAGACCAGCGGCGAAGGCGAGUUCCUGGACAGUAACUGACGCUGAGGCACGAAGGCCAGGGGAGCAAACGGG